UACGUAGGUGGCAAGCGUUGUUCGGAAUUACUGGGCGUACAGGGCGCGUAGGCGGCCUUCUAAGUCAGACGUGAAAUCCCCCGGCUUAACCUGGGAACUGCGUCUGAUACUGGGAGGCUUGAGUAUGGGAGAGGGAUGUAGAAUUCCAGGUGUAGCGGUGAAAUGCGUAGAUAUCUGGAGGAAUACCGGUGGCGAAGGCGGCAUCCUGGACCAUAACUGACGCUGAGGCGCGAAAGCUAGGGGAGCAAACGGG
rnacentral:rRNA from 1 species